rnacentral:rRNA from 1 species
GAUGAAAGAUGACGCGGCGGACGGGUGAGUAACGCGUGGGUAACCUGCCCUAUACACAUGGAUAACAUACUGAAAAGUUUACUAAUACAUGAUAAUAUAUAUUUACGGCAUCGUAGAUAUAUCAAAGUGUUAAGCGGUAUAGGAUGGACCCGCGUCUGAUUAGCUAGUUGGUGAGAUAACUGCCCACCAAGGCGACGAUCAGUAGCCGACCUGAGAGGGUGAUCGGCCACAUUGGAACUGAGACACGGUCCAAACUCCUACGGGAGGCAGCAGUGGGGAAUAUUGCACAAUGGGCGCAAGCCUGAUGCAGCAACGCCGCGUGAACGAUGAAGGUCUUCGGAUCGUAAAGUUCUGUUGCAGGGGAAGAUAAUGACGGUACCCUGUGAGGAAGCCCCGGCUAACUACGUGCCAGCAGCCGCGGUAAUACGUAGGGGGCUAGCGUUAUCCGGAUUUACUGGGCGUAAAGGGUGCGUAGGUGGUCUUUCAAGUCGGUGGUUAAAGGCUACGGCUCAACCGUAGUUAGCCUCCGAAACUGGAAGACUUGAGUGCAGGAGAGGAAAGUGGAAUUCCCAGUGUAGCGGUGAAAUGCGUAGAUAUUGGGAGGAACACCAGUAGCGAAGGCGGCUUUCUGGACUGCAACUGACACUGAGGCACGAAAGCGUGGGUAGCAAACAGGAUUAGAUACCCUGGUAGUCCACGCUGUAAACGAUGAGUACUAGGUGUCGGGGGUUACCCCCCUCGUGCCGCAGCUACGCAUUAAGUACUCCGCCU